rnacentral:tRNA from 1 species
CCCAGUGUGGCACAGUGGUUUGAGUGUUCAACUACAACUCUGAAGACCAGGGUUGGAUUCCCAGCUCAGCCA